UACGUAGGUGUCAAGCGUUGUCCGGAUUUAUUGGGCGUAAAGCGCCCGCAGGCGGCUUGCCAAGUCUGACGUGAAAUCUCCCGGCUCAACUGGGAGGGUGCAUCGGAAACUGGCAGGCUUGAGGCAGGGAGAGGGAUGUGGAAUUCCAGGUGUAGCGGUGAAAUGCGUAGAUAUCUGGAGGAACACCGGUGGCGAAGGCGGCAUCCUGGACCGGUAUUGACGCUGAGGCGCGAAAGCCAGGGGAGCAAACGGG
rnacentral:rRNA from 1 species